rfam:Trametes pubescens strain FBCC735 TRAPTBscaffold_489, whole genome shotgun sequence.
GCCAUCGUGGCGCAAUGGUAGCGCAUCACCUUCCUAUAUCAGGAAGUGUCAGGUGGGGGUUGCGGGUUCGAUCCCCGUCGGUGGUA